rnacentral:misc_RNA from 1 species
GGAAGUAAAAGUCGUAACAAGAUUUCCGUAGGUGAACCUGCGGAAGGAUCAUUAAUGAGUUGUCAUGGGGUUCGAUGCUGGCAGCCAAUUUUUGGAUGCAUGUGCUUGCCCUAACAAUCAUCUUCCAAACACCUGUGCACAUUUUUGAGGGAGUCUUGAGUUGGUUGCCGCUCUUGGGUGAUUUUCUCACAUUCCCUUAAAUCAUUAUACGCUAUUAACAAUGUUGAACGUGCUCUGUGCCGCAAGGCUAUUAAUAUAAUACAACUUUUAACAACGGAUCUCUUGGCUCUC